UACGUAGGGGGCAAGCGUUGUCCGGAUUUAUUGGGCGUAAAGAGCGUGUAGGCGGCCAUGUAGGUCCGUUGUGAAAACUCGAGGCUCAACCUCGAGACGCCGAUGGAAACCAUGUGGCUAGAGUCCGGAAGAGGAGAGUGGAAUUCCUGGUGUAGCGGUGAAAUGCGCAGAUAUCAGGAAGAACACCAAUGGCGAAGGCAGCUCGCUGGAACGGUACUGACGCUGAGGCGCGAAAGCGUGGGGAGCGAACAGG
rnacentral:rRNA from 1 species